GGGCCCGCACAAGCAGCGGAGCAUGUGGUUUAAUUCGAAGCAACGCGAAGAACCUUACCCAGACUUGACAUCUCCUGCAUUAAUCGUAAUUGAUGAAUUCCCUUCGGGGACAGGAUGACAGGUGGUGCAUGGUUGUCGUCAGCUCGUGUCGUGAGAUGUUAGGUUAAGUCCUGCAACGAGCGCAACCCUUAUCAUUAGUUGCUAACAUUUAGUUGAGCACUCUAAUGAGACUGCCUGGGUUAACCAGGAGGAAGGUGGGGAUGACGUCAAAUCAUCAUGCCCCUUAUGUCUGGGGCAACACACGUGCUACAAUGGUGGGAACAAAGAGAUGCAAUACCGCAAGGUGGAGCCAAACUUCAAAACCCAUCCCAGUUCGGAUUGUAGGCUGAAACUCGCCUACAUGAAGCUGGAGUUGCUAGUAAUCGCGAAUCAGAAUGUCGCGGUGAAUACGUUCCCGGGCCUU
rnacentral:rRNA from 1 species